CGUUUCGGUUAGAUAUAUGGCCAAGAAUGAUUUUUUUUGUUCAUUCGACCACCCGUUGAUUAUACUUGCCCUGUUGUAUUUGUUCAGGAAUGCGUUCACACUCUCAUGUAGUGCGCCCGAAAAUUUUUCAGGUUUACAAAAUGGUACUCGUUCGGUCAUUUUGUCAGUUGUAUUUGUGUGUGUAGAAGAGAUUAUUGAUUUUUCAGUUUGUGUAAUUUUAUCACAAUAUUUAAUUUUAUCGAAAUCAGUAGUUGUACCUUCUAUAUGUCGUAAUAAUCUAUCCUUUAAUUCAGGUAAGGACCCUGUGCUAAUUAAGUUUAAUUUGUCUAAUUCUUGUCUUGCUGAUUUUAUAGAAAUUUUCUUUAUAAAUUCAGGUUUGUCUUCUGCAAAUUCAAGUUCAUAUAAAUCUUUUUGGAGUAUUUUACUUAUUUGAUCGCCAGUUAAAUCUUUUUCCAUUAAGAUGAUUAAACAUACGAAGUAGGUAAAAUAUGAAGUGGCUCAAUAUAUGUGAGUUCUAGAAUUUGUACAAGUUUUAAUAUUAUUUUGAUUCCUGUUUGUGGAAAUAAAAAUCCUCUUAUUGUUUUAUUAAAAAUAUGAUUUGUGCAAUUUACUAAUAUAUCUCUGUUUUUUAUAUUAGUUUGUUUAAAUGCUUUGUUAAUAUUAUGCCUUAUUAAAGUUUUGUAUUUGAUAAUAGAACUUAUUUGAAUUGCAUAAUCUACUUCUGUUAUAAAUGUUUUAAUUAUUUCUUUUAGUAAUUGUCUAAUAAGUAUGAUGUCAGGAAUUGUGUUUGUAGAGUUUACAUUCAUUUGUAUUGUCUUAUUGAUAUGUUUUUUCCAAUAUUUGUACAAGUUCUAAGGCUAAUUCUGUGACUGUUUCUGGAUAUAAUACGCCCCUUAUUAUUCUUGAUUCAAAGAAAUUUAAUAAAGCGUAUACUAAUCUCGGAGAAUAUUGAAAACUAUCAACUGUUGCUUUCCAAACAAGAUUCGCAAGUACUUGAUUCAAUGUGUUUCUAUUUUCUAUUCUAGAGUCCUUUGGGUAUUCUAAUAGCAAUGAUCUUAGCAUAUAUUUUAUUGUUUUUCUAUAUAUAUUAAUUGGUGAUUGAUUCAUUAAUUUAAGUCGAACAGCCAAAAAAAAAAAAAUAAUAAUAAUUAGAACUUUUAAUUUUAUUUUAAGCGGAGUUCUCUAUGUUUAACAAUCUGGUGUCUGAUUGAAAAUAUGUCUUAGGAAUUUUCUCGUAAAUUUGCUCGAUUGUAUUAUCAUAUAAGAAUUUCAAUGCAAUAGUUAAUUUGAGAAUUAUAGCUGAUUCUAACAAAGGAUAGGAAUUAGGUGUUGUGUAUAUUUGAAUAAAUCUUUGAAUAAUGAGAAACUUGUUUAUGUUGAUUUUCAUACGCAAAGUUGUUUCCCAAAGUGCAUCUAAGAUUAUGUGAUGCAACUGGAAUUUAUGUGUAAUGAUUUUGUUUGUGUAAUUUGAUAUGAUUCUGUUUAAAAUAUAUUUUGUUAUUUUGAUAAAUUCUACUUUAGUAGGAAAACUCAUGUGUCUAGUUAAUUUUGAAAUUGAAAAUGAAAUUAGCACAUUAAAUAUAUGUAUGUUUGGUGUUAUUAUUCCUGAGAUAUUCGUAAUUCGGUAUAACCUCGAGUAUUUCGUUUAUUUGAUGAUCUUGUAAAUAACUUAAUACUAAUGAAAUUUUGAGUAAUAACGUUGUUUCUGUUAUUGGAAAUGUGUUAUUAUUGUUUAUAAAGGCAAAAAGAAAUCUUUGUAUGGUUUGAGCUUUAUAUAUAUUAAUAUCGAGAUGUAGAGUUACUUCCCAGAGAAUAUCAGUUAUGAUUUUAAAUAAAUGAUAUUUGCAUUUAAUGAUAUUAUUACGAUAAUUAUUAAUUACUUCUUUAAAUACAAACUUAACUACUGUAAUUAAUUCUUUCUUUGUGGGGUUGUUCAUUAAUAUUGGACAAUAAUAAAAUUUCUAUAAUCCUAACUAAAAAAUAAUGAUAUAUUUGGUAGAUUUUACUGAACAAAAUUUAAAAUAUGUAAUAUGUCUGAGAUUAUAGUAAUUUUAUUAGCAGGUGUUUGUCGUGGUUCGAGCUGUGGUCAGGCGUCACUUGUAAUAAACAAAAAGGAAAAGGCGAAGAUUGGCGAGAGUGGUGAGAGGUAGUCUUGUAAUAAAUAAAAAGAAACACAAGAGAGACGAGUGAGUGUAGGUAGGGAAGGAAUGUAAUAAAUAAAAAUGGCUAUAAUAAGGUGGCGAAGGAAUGUUGUUAAAUGUGUUUGGGGUUCGGGGUGUGAAAGAGAAGAAAUGUAAAGAAAUGUAACACAGGUGGCUAAUAAGGAAAUAAUAAUCGUAGCGGGCGUAGUGUAAAAAGGAUGGGCACCAAUGGAAGGUAAAAGUGGCUAUAGAUACCCGGCAGUGACUACAAUAAAAUGAAAUAGAAAGGGAUCUCGGGGUAUGUAUGCUUGUGUAAAAACGUCUAAUAUAUGAAUAAGAUGGAAUUACAAAGAAGGGUCACUACCUAGCUCCUGCACAGAAACGCGCACACCAAUUUCCGGCGACUCACAAAUAUCGUGUUUUUAUAAAAAUAUUUUAAUUUACUCUCAAUGACCUAUCUUGUUCUAAUUGUUUAUUACUAAAAUGUUCUUCAGUAAAGGAUCUAUUAUAAGCUUAUUGUAUAAACAAAUGUUUCACUUACCUCUGACUAUCCUGAUAUUCUCUUGAGAUGAAUGAUGUUGUUGAUGUAACAAUUAUCGAUGUAUACGUUUACGCAUUAAUGUACGCAAUUAUGUUUAUACGGUUUAUAUUAUUACUAACUCGCGUGUAACUACUUUUCUAGUACAAUUCUAUAUUAAAUCUACCCAAGGUGAAAUCUAAGUUUGUUAUAACUCUGUCUUUUUGCAAAAACCUUUUGUAUAUUUAUGUAGUAUAGUUCUUAACCUUGUAUAUGAUGUUUUACGUUAAUAUAUUUAUUAUUUAAUAAUUUAUAAAGCAAAUGAAUAACUUCUAAGCAACAUAACUGUCCUGUGCAACAAAACUAUUUCCAAGUGGCCUACGUCUUUUCAGUCGUCCAAAUGGUGAUCUAGGGUAGAUGCGAGCUCAAUUUCAGUUCUUUGCACAAUAGAUUAUACUAGUGUCCUACACUCCGAUCACCGGCACUGUGGCAUAGAUCAGACUAGCUGGUCGAUAAGUGGAGAGACACUUUUAGUUGUUUAGUAUGAUCUGGAUGUACCAACGCGAGAUCUCAAAUAAUAUCUUUGUCUUUAUGCAAAGAACCUUAUGAUAUGUGGCCUACUUCUUUUCAAUCACCUGUAGGACGACCUAGGUUAGAUGCGACUGUACUAUAGAUUUAUGCACGAUAAGUUAUGUUAGUGUCCUACACUCCGAUUGCCCGCACCGUGGCAGAGAUCAGACUAGCUAGUCGAUAAGUGGAGAGACACUAUGAAGAAAUCUUAUGGUUAACUAAAAUUCUAAUUAUGAUAUUAUUGUACUAUUACCCUGUCCAGCCAGGUUGUGGCCCUUCAAUAAGUAGUAAAUACAAUUCAAUCAAAUUAAUUACCUCAGAGUAUGUUUAUAUAUAUAUGAAUAUAAAUGUAAAUAAAAAGAAAUAAAUAAACACCAGUAUUUUAUAUGUGUCAGAAUAUUUAUAUCACCAAAAGUAUUCGACCGAAAAUAAGAUGUAUAAUAUUUUUCAGUAAUUACAAAAGAGGGUAAAAAUUAUGUAGAUUUCAUAUAGAAUUGUUACUAGAAUGAAACAUAAACUCACGCACAUUCACUUUUUGUAUCUUAGUUGAGUAUUGCAGAGAGCCGUAGAGAUGUAUAGAAUGGCAAAGCGUCCCAGUAUUCGCUAGAGGGAUGUUCAGAGCAACCACAGUAAGAGAGCCAAGUGCAAAGGAACCACCCGAAUUUGGGGGAAAUUGGCCUUUU